UACGGAGGGUGCAAGCGUUAAUCGGAAUUACUGGGCGUAAAGCGUGCGCAGGCGGUUUGUUAAGUCCGCUGUGAAAUCCCCGAGCUCAACUUGGGAAUUGCAGUGGAUACUGGCAAGCUGGAGUAUGGUAGAGGAAGGUGGAAUUCCCGGUGUAGCAGUGAAAUGCGUAGAGAUCGGGAGGAACACCAGUGGCGAAGGCGGCCUUCUGGACCAAUACUGACGCUCAUGCACGAAAGCGUGGGGAGCAAACGGG
rnacentral:rRNA from 1 species